CUGGAAGUAGCCAGUGAAAGUGAAAGUCGCUCAAUCAUGUCCGACUCCUUGUGAAUUCACCAGGUCAGAAUACUAGAGUGGGUAGCCUUUCCCUUCUCCAGGGGAUCUUCCCAACACAGGGAUCAAACCCAGGUCUCCCGCAUUGCGGGUGGAUUCGUUAGCAGCUGAGCAAGGGAAGCUGAACAAAGGAAGCCCAAGAACACUGGAGUAGAUAGCCUACCCUUCUCCAGCGGAUAUUCCCCACCCAGGAAUUGAACCGGGGGUCUCCUGCAUUGCAGGUGGAUUCUUUACCAACUCAGCUAUGAGGGAAGUUGGAAGUAGCCAACUGCUAAGCAAAAAAACUUGGGAUCCUAGAAUCCUGCAUCCAGUCAAGAAAUCUCUCUUUUCCAAGGACAGAAGAGCUUGCCACAGGACCAGCAAUGAGCGCCGUACAUACCCUGCUGAAAUGUCUCAGGGUAAGAUGUAAUUCAGUGAAUCAGAAGACAAUGAAUGCCAUGAGAGGACCAGUAAAAAAGAUUUCAAGAUCAAGCCGUCUUUCAAAAUUCAAUCUGUGAUUCCUGAACUGGAUAGUUUAUAUUUCUUACCUUUUUUCAUUUUAAUAUUUAACUUGUGAAGUUAAUGGUUCACAUACUUUUCAGGGAAUGAAAUAGAUAAGAAAGAGCUAUCAAUCUUAUCUUUAGCUUUUCUUCUAGAAGUUUGUUUUUUUGUCUGUAUGAAAGUAAUUUUCUCAAGACCAUAAACCAUCUAAUAGCAUUCUUAUGAUUUUUUAAAUAUCCUAGUAAGCCUUAAGGUUGGCAUCAUUACACUUGCUUUUAAUGAUAUACUCAUGAUCUGUUCUGAUAGUAACAUUGCUAUUUUAUUUGGAUUCUAGUUAGCUAUUAGCUAAAAAUGUGAGUUCAUCAGAACGUUUUUGCUAUUUUAGGCUAUAUCAUGUUCAGCUUUUUAAAACUCAAGGUUUAAACAAAGCUGGAAAUCAAAUACAUUUUAAACUUUGAUUUGAACUAUCAUGGUGUUGUGGAAAUAGCCUUCAAUCAGGAAUCAGCUUGGGUGUAAUUCCCACCCAGCUCUGAACUUAAGAGAUCUGGGAUAAGUUCUUUCACCUCAUCUUCAUUUCCCACAUCUGUAACUGAAGCAAACUGUACAAUUUCUAAGGUUUCUUACCAUUCUAGAAAGCCAGUACUUAUUCAACUGCAAGGUCCUUCCACUUAACAUAUGGCAAUUUAAGUCAUUUUAAGACAUGUAUUAAUUUAUGGGGCUGGCCUAGUUCUUUGGGCCAUACUUUGGCCAAGUGUUCACAAUACUCAAGUCUAGAGUGGAAAUAGAACAGGGUAUGAGAAGUGUUCUUUUAAGGCAUUAAAAAAAUUUACAAAUUAUCUUAUUUAUAUUUAGAUUGUUUUCUUACUGUCAUGUAUGUCUGGUGACCCCCUGCUUAAUAAGUUAAAUUAUUGGAUUUUACAGAAAUCACU
rnacentral:lncRNA from 1 species